UAUAUGAUGAUUACUUAACUUACCUUUUGCGGUUUCCACCAGAAAGCGUUAAUUCGCUUAAAGAUGGCCUUAGGUGUCUGAUU
rnacentral:snoRNA from 1 species